rnacentral:snRNA from 1 species
GGAUGUGAGGGCGAUCUGGCUGCGACAUCUGUCACCCCAUUGAUCGCCAGAGUUGAUUCGGCUGAUCUGGCUGGCUAGGCGGGUGUCCCCUUCCUCCCUCACCGCUCCAUGUGCGUCCCUCCCGAAGCUGCGCGCUCGGUGGAAGAGGACGACCAUCCCAGAUAGAAGGAGUGUACCGUUCUUCGGUCAAGGGUAUACGAUAGCUGCGCUCCCCUGCUAGAACCUCCAAACAAGCUCAAGGUCCAUUUGUAGGAGUCACUGUUUCACUUUGAUCCAAGUGGUUUAAAAGAAACCUCAUCUU